UAGAGUUUGAUCCUGGCUCAGGACAAACGCUGGCGGCGUGCCUAACACAUGCAAGUCGAACGCCCUGCGCAAGCAGGGAGUGGCGGACGGGUGAGUAACACGUGGGCUACCUACCUUUCGGUGAGGAAUACCGGCGAGAAAUCGCCGACAAUACCGCAUACGCUUCUUUCACGAGAAGCAAAGUCGCAAGACGCCGAAUGAUGGGCCUGCGUCCGAUUAGCCAGUUGGUGGGGUCACGGCUCACCAAAGCGACGAUCGGUAGCUGGUCUGAGAGGACGAUCAGCCACACUGGGAUUGAGAACGGCCCAGACUCCUACGGGGGGCAGCAGUGAGGAAUCUUCGUCAAUGGGGGCAACCCUGAACGAGCAACGCCGCGUGCAGGAGGACGGUUUUCGGAUCGUAAACUGCUUUUCUCGGGGACGACACAAAGGACGGUACCCGAGGAACAAGCCCCGGCUAACUACGUGCCAGCAGCCGCGGUAAUACGUAGGGGGCGAGCGUUGUCCGGAGUUACUGGGCGUAAAGCGCGCGCAGGCGGUCCAUUAAGUCUGGAGUGACAGUUCCCAGCUUACCUGGGAAAGGUCUUCGGAAACUGGUGGACUUGAGGGACUCAGAGGGAGACGGAAUUCCAGGUGGAGCGGUGAAAUGCGUAGAGAUCUGGAGGAACACCAAAGGCGAAGGCAGUCUCCUGGGAGUUUCCUGACGCUCAGGCGCGAAAGCCAGGGGAGCGAACGGGAUUAGAUACCCCGGUAGUCCUGGCCGUAAACGAUGACCACCAGGCGUGGGAGGGAUCGACCCCUUCCGUGCCGGCGCUUACGCUUUGAGUGGUCCGCCUGGGGAGUACGGUCGCAAGAUUAAAACUCAAAGGAAUUGACGGGGACUCGCACAAGCAGCGGAGCGUGUGGUUUAAUUCGAUGCAACGCGAAGAACCUUACCAAAGCUUGACAUGCACUCGCACCAGCCGUAAUGGGCUCUUCCUUCGGGACGGGUGUGCAGGUGCUGCAUGGCUGUCGUCAGCUCGUGUCGUGAGAUGUUGGGUUCAGUCCCGCAACGAGCGCAACCCCUGUCGCUAGUUGAAUGUUCUAGCGAGACCGCCGUCUCAAAACGGAGGAAGGUGGGGAUGACGUCAAGUCAGCACGGCCCUGACGCUUUGGGCGACACACACGCUACAAUGGCCGGGACAAUGGGUUGCCAACCCGCGAGGGGGAGCCAAUCCCACAAACCCGGUCUCAGUUCGGAUUGUAGGCUGCAACUCGCCUGCAUGAAGUCGGAGUUGCUAGUAACCGCAAGUCAGCACAUUGCGGUGAAUACGUUCCCGGGUCUUGUACACACCGCCCGUCACACCACGAAAGUUGACAACACCUGAAGCCGCCGGGCUAACCCGCAAGGGGGGCAGGCGUCGAGGGUGGGGCCAAUGAUUGGGGUGAAGUCGUAACAAGGUAGCCGUA
rnacentral:rRNA from 1 species